GACGAACGCUGGCGGCGUGCUUAACACAUGCAAGUCGAGCGGGGUCCAACUUGUCGCAAGACAAGGGAAGGCCUAGCGGCGAACGGGUGAGUAACACGUGAGGAACCUGCCCCGAAGACUGGGAUAACACCGGGAAACCGGUGCUAAUACCCGGAUAACCUCUUUUGAACGCAUGAUCAGAAGAGGAAAUGGAUUCCGCUUCGGGAGGGCCUCGCGGCCUAUCAGCUUGUUGGUGGGGUAACGGCCCACCAAGGCUACGACGGGUAGCUGGUCUGAGAGGACGGCCAGCCACACUGGGACUGAGACACGGCCCAGACUCCUACGGGAGGCAGCAGUGGGGAAUCUUGCGCAAUGGGCGAAAGCCUGACGCAGCGACGCCGCGUGGGGAUGAAGGUCUUCGGA
rnacentral:rRNA from 1 species